GAACACCGGUGGAGCAGCUGGAGCAGCAGCUGCAGCAUCUGCUCCUGGCUGUCCCUCAGCAGCCACCUUCUGCACUCGGCGCCACAGCUGGCCUCUGCAGCGACAUCCUCAUCUCCUCGUCUACUGCCAGGCAUCCCCACAGCACUUUGGCACUGUGCAAGGUGGAAAGGAGAGGCACAAUGAAAAGGAAAGCAAGAGCCCACACUGAGCCACACAUCAAUGUUGGCAGUGACUUUCAGGCCGAGCUCCCUGAGCUGCAGACCGGGCCGCCAAGUGAGGAUGAAGAGCCUGCAACCCUGGUCUGGAAGCCCUUGGAGGAAGACGACCCUGACCUGGAAAAACCAGACAGAGGUAGCUGUCUAGCUUUCCUUCAACUCCUGAGAUAG